CGGAUUUAUUGGGCGUAAGCGAGCGCAGGCGGUUUUUUAAGUCUGAUGUGAAAGCCUUCGGCUUAACCGAAGAAGUGCAUCGGAAACUGGGAGACUUGAGUGCAGAAGAGGACAGUGGAACUCCAUGUGUAGCGGUGGAAUGCGUAGAUAUAUGGAAGAACACCAGUGGCGAAGGCGGCUGUCUAGUCUGUAACUGACGCUGAGGCUCGAAAGCAUGGGUAGCGAACAGGAUUAGAUACCCUGGUAGUCCAUGCCGUAAACGAUGAGUGCUAAGUGUUGGAGGGUUUCCGCCCUUCAGUGCUGCAGCUAACGCAUUAAGCACUCCGCCUGGGGAGUACGACCGCAAGGUUGAAACUCAAAGGAAUUGACGGGGGCCCGCACAAGCGGUGGAGCAUGUGGUUUAAUUCGAAGCUACGCGAAGAACCUUACCAGGUCUUGACAUCUUCUGCCAAUCUAAGAGAUUAGACGUUCCCUUCGGGGACAGAAUGACAGGUGGUGCAUGGUUGUCGUCAGCUCGUGUCGUGAGAUGUUGGGUUAAGUCCCGCAACGAGCGCAACCCUUAUUAUCAGUUGCCAGCAUUCAGUUGGGUACUCUGGUGAGACUGCCGGUGACAAACCGGAGGAAGGUGGGGAUGACGUCAAAUCAUCAUGCCCCUUAUGACCUGGGCUACACACGUGCUACAAUGGACGGUACAACGAGUCGCAAAGUCGCGAGGCUAAGCUAAUCUCUUAAAGCCGUUCUCAGUUCGGAUUGUAGGCUGCAACUCGCCUACAUGAAGUUGGAAUCGCUAGUAAUCGCGGAUCAGCAUGCCGCGGUGAAUACGUUCCCGGGCCUUGUACACACCGCCCGUCACACCAUGAGAGUUUGUAACACCCAAAGCCGGUGAGAUAACCUUCGGGAGUCAGCCGUCUA
rnacentral:rRNA from 2 species